AACGGAGAGGACAAGUGUUAUUCGUAUUGACUGGGUGUAAAACGUGCGUAGACGGGAUAAAAAGUGUUAAUAAAAAUCGUUUGCAAGAACAUUGAAGCGGAUUUAACAGACUUUUAUUUCCUAGAGUUGUGGGGAAGUAUGUAGAACACCGGGUGUAGGGGUGAAAUCUGUCUAUAUCCGGGGUGCUAUCAGAGGCGAAGGCGACAUACUAUUUACAAACUGACGUUGAGGCACAAAAGCGUGGGUAUCAAACAGG
rnacentral:rRNA from 1 species